GUAAGAUUUUUUAUUUUUAUUUUACAGGUAUUUCGUUUAUUGCCUCCCUCACUAUUAUUAGGGUGAGGAGAGUAGGUUCUGUAUUUGUUUAUGGAGGUGUGACUAGGGGCUAAGGGAACCCUCCAAGUCACUUGGGGUGGAAGAUAUUUUUCAUGGGGGUACAAUAGGUUCACCACCCUUGUUAUUUAGGGCUCCCACAUACU